rnacentral:rRNA from 1 species
GACGAACGCUGGCGGCGUGCCUAAUACAUGCAAGUUGAGCGCUGAAGGUUGGUGCUUGUACCAACUGGAUGAGCAGCGAACGGGUGAGUAACGCGUGGGGAAUCUGCCUUUGAGCGGGGGACAACAUUUGGAAACGAAUGCUAAUACCGCAUAAAAACUUUAAACACAAGUUUUAAGUUUGAAAGAUGCAAUUGCAUCACUCAAAGAUGAUCCCGCGUUGUAUUAGCUAGUUGGUGAGGUAAAGGCUCACCAAGGCGAUGAUACAUAGCCGACCUGAGAGGGUGAUCGGCCACAUUGGGACUGAGACACGGCCCAAACUCCUACGGGAGGCAGCAGUAGGGAAUCUUCGGCAAUGGACGAAAGUCUGACCGAGCAACGCCGCGUGAGUGAAGAAGGGUUUCGGAUCGUAAAACUCUGUUGGUAGAGAAGAACGUUGGUGAGAGUGGAAAGCUCAUCAAGUGACGGUAACUACCCAGAAAGGGACGGCUAACUACGUG